rnacentral:tRNA from 1 species
GAAAUAUGAAAUUCAAGAUUAAGCUUCUAACUUAGAUCUUAAGCAGUGUAAGUCUGUUUAUAUUUCU